AAACCAACAGGGAUUGCCUCAGUAACGGCGAGUGAAGCGGCAAAAGCUCAAAUUUGAAAUCUAGUACCCCUACCGAGUGCUCGAGUUGUAAUUUGAAGAUGGCAAACUUUGGUGGCUGGCCCUUGUCUAUGUUCCUUGGAACAGGACGUCACAGAGGGUGAGAAUCCCGUCUGACGAGGUGACCCAGCUGCCGUGUAAAGUGCUAUCGAAGAGUCGAGUUGUUUGGGAAUGCAGCUCUAAGUGGGUGGUAAAUUCCAUCUAAAGCUAAAUAUUGGCGAGAGACCGAUAGCGAACAAGUACAGUGAUGGAAAGAUGAAAAGAACUUUGAAAAGAGAGUGAAAAAGUACGUGAAAUUGUUGAAAGGGAAGGGUAUUAGAUCAGACUUGGCCACCCUACGAUUAUCUGCCCUUUGUGGGCAGUGCACUCGUGGGUGCUUGCUGGGCCAGCAUCGAUUCGGGCGGCAGGAUAAUGGCGAAAGAACGUGGCAUUGGCCUUCUAGGCGGAUGUGUUUAUAGCUUUCGCUGAUGCUGCCUGCCUGGAUCGAGGAUUGCGUCUCUCUGAGACUAGGAUGCUGGCGUAAUGAUUUAAUAUCGC
rnacentral:rRNA from 1 species